ACUAAUAUCUGUUAUUCCUAUCCUAUCCUAUAUAUAACAUAACAUAAUUUUCUGCUGCAAUUCUGCAAACCUAGCCGUCUCUGCCGUCUCUAACUCGAUCUUCGUCUCCAGCAAACCUAGCCGUCUUCUUCUCUAACUCGAUCUUCUCUAACUCGAUCUUCUCUAACUCGAUCUUCGUCUCCUCUUAUUCUCUUGAUGUUCUUCUUCUUCUUCUUCUCUUGAGCAGAUUUUAGGCUUGUCUAACUUGAUGUUCUUCUUCUUCUUCUUCAGCAGUUUAGAUCAGAUCGUUGAUUGUUAUUUGCUUGUGAUUUGGUAAGUUUUCUUUGCUUGUGAUUUGCUUGUGAUUUGGUAAGUUUUCUUUGCUUCUAAUUUUAAUUGUAGAUUUCUUUUUUUUUGAUCGCUUUAAACUGAAUUGCUUCUUAGGAUAAAUAGGCUGAUAUUAGUCGGCCAGUGUUGAUUUCACAUUACAUUUUGCCUUAAGAUUGUUUUGUUUGAUUGUUGACAUUGAUACAAAAAAUUUUGUCAAACAUAUGGGUUCUUAGAAUGAUUUUUCUGGGUCAGACUAACCUAUCUACAGUCCAUACAUACCGCGUUGAUUUUGUUGUGCAUAUCAGCAUAUGUACAUUAUGUUUGAUCAUUGAUGAAAGAGUAGUACAAAUACAUCAUGCGCUAGGAUUUCUUUUAUUAGAUUUCAAAUGCAAACACAUUGUAACUCUGUGUAAUCAGAUGUAUAGGAUUUCUCAUUUCUCUGGUUCCAGUCUAACCAAUUCGAGGGACCUGCGCUACCUUCCAAUUGGAAGUUGCUAUUCAUUUAGCAUAUUGAAUUAAAGAGUGAUCUAGGUAUUUAUGCAGGGUGAAUCGUAAACCAUAUCAGGCUGAUUAUGUAGAAUAGAUGAGUUGUCGAUAUGCUUUCUGCAAUCAUAUGUUCAUCAGUUGAGAUUGCUGAUAACUGUAUUCGUAUUAUAUAGAUUUUGUUGAAAUACUUGAUAUGUAGCUCAAUUGGAUUACAAUCUGGUGAAUAUACAAGUGCACUGAAGAUAUUGAAUUUUUUGUUUUUCAUUCUUCUGAGUGUUCUGAAGUCAAAGAGAAAGGAGAAACAUGUACUGCUAUUUCCCCCCUGUAUGUACACCUCGAGAUGUCUUCAUAGCUGCUACAAACUCCUGACGUAUGGCUGUUAGGGUCAAUUGGGAGGACUUGGAAGCUUGAAAACACGUUUGCCUAAACAUGGACCUGUUAAUGCAUCCAUAUGGCUGCUAAUCACACUUGAUAUGCGGAAAUCCAGCUUCUGCAACACUGCUCGUCUGUUGGAAAAGUAUGCCCAGCUUUCCAUCAGCAUUUCAUCAUCUGAUCUGCAAUAACCUGAAUCCUUAACAAAGCCAGGUGAUACUAGAGUAAUAAAGUACACUAAUAGAUCAUAUACCUCAUAAUCAAAGAAGACCAGCUUUUGUAUCCAGAAGAAAUGAGAGUCUCCAUGGUUACAUUAUGCAAUUGUAACGUCGUAAUGGUUUGCUUUUUAUGAGAUUGUAAUAUUUUAAUUGGUGUGACGAUCUAGCUAGAUUAUUUGAUGUAUUUUGACACUAUUUGAGGUGGUAUUUGGCAUUUUGGCCAUUUGGGAGGCUAUUUUUCAUUUAUUUCCUAUAAUCUGUUUUAUACCAGGAAUUCAGGAAAAAGCUGCAAACGAG
rnacentral:lncRNA from 1 species